rnacentral:misc_RNA from 1 species
AUUUGAUAUGUUUUGGUAGAAUGAUUCCUUGAAAAUUUUGACCUUGAUCUUUUGCUUAUUUAGAAGGUGUAUUUUUAAUAUUUAUAUUGUUUCUUGUGAGGUAUCUUAUGCAGUUAGGUAUAAUGGAUGGCCAAAUAUUUUUGAUAUGUUAAGUUUAAAAGUUGUAAGAAUUUCUAUAUGUAGGAAGAGAGUGAAAGAAUGUGUAUUUUGGUUGAUACAUAUUAAAGUGUUCAUUGUUGCUUGCGAGGAUAGCAAAUGACUCACAAUAUAACUUUUCUUGUUGGGACCCAUGCUAUUAGCUUUUUAAUGAAAUUUAGUUUAAAGAAAAAAGAGAUAAUUCAUUAUUGGUAGGAGGCAUCGUAGAGAACCUUGGGGUAGAACCUUUCUUGUU